rnacentral:snRNA from 1 species
GUGCUCACUUGGGCAGCGCAUAUACUAAAAUUGGAACCACACAGAGAAGAUCAGCAUUGUCCUCUGUGCAAGAAUGACAUGAAAACUCAUGAAGCGUUCCAUAUUAAA